CGACGAAUCUUCCGCAAUGGGCGAAAGCCUGACGGAGCAAUGCCGCGUGCAGGAUGAAGCGGCUACGCCGUGUAAACUGCUGUCAGGGGGUAGAAACACUGAUCACCCCCAAAGGAAGAGCCGGCUAACCCUGUGCCAGCAGCCGCGGUAAGACAGGGGGCUCGAGCGUUAAUCGGAAUCAUUGGGCUUAAAGGGUGCGUAGGCGGGUCGCUAAGUGUUCUGUGAAAUCCCCCGGCUCAACCGGGGAAUCGCAGGGCAUACUGGCGGCCUUGAGGCAUGUAGGGGCGGACGGAACUGUAGGUGGAGCGGUGAAAUGCGUAGAUAUCUACAGGAACGCCGAUGGUGAAGACGGUCCGCUGGGCAUGUCCUGACGCUGAGGCACGAAAGCGUGGGGAGCAAACAGGAUUAGAUACCCCGGUAGUCC
rnacentral:rRNA from 1 species